rnacentral:rRNA from 1 species
UGGGGAAUUUUGGACAAUGGGGGAAACCCUGAUCCAGCCAUCCCGCGUGUGCGAUGAAGGCCUUCGGGUUGUAAAGCACUUUUGGCAGGAAAGAAACGUCAUGGGUUAAUACCCCGUGAAACUGACGGUACCUGCAGACUAAGCACCGGCUAACUACGUGCCAGCAGCCGCGGUAAUACGUAGGGUGCAAGCGUUAAUCGGAAUUACUGGGCGUAAAGCGUGCGCAGGCGGUUCGGAAAGAAAGAUGUGAAAUCCCAGAGCUCAACUUUGGAACUGCAUUUUUAACUACCGGGCUAGAGUGUGUCAGAGGGAGGUGGAAUUCCGCGUGUAGCAGUGAAAUGCGUAGAUAUGCGGAGGAACACCGAUGGCGAAGGCAGCCUCCUGGGAUAACACUGACGCUCAUGCACGAAAGCGUGGGGAGCAAACAGG